rnacentral:rRNA from 1 species
UACGUAGGGUGCAAGCGUUGUCCGGAAUUAUUGGGCGUAAAGAGCUCGUAGGCGGUCUGUCGCGUCUGCUGUGAAAACUCAGGGCUUAACCUCGAGCUUGCAGUGGGUACGGGCAGACUAGAGUGCGGUAGGGGAGACUGGAAUUCCUGGUGUAGCGGUGGAAUGCGCAGAUAUCAGGAGGAACACCGGUGGCGAAGGCGGAAUCUCUGGGCCAUAACUGACGCUGGAGGAGCGGAAAGCAUGGGGAGCGAAACAGG